rnacentral:rRNA from 1 species
AUCAUUCUUGACCAAAUUACGUGCCAGNNGUCGCGGCAACACGCAUAAGACAAGUGUUAUUCAUCUUUAAUUCGGUUUAAAGGGUACCUAGACGGAAAAUCAAGCCAAAGGCAAAAGCAAAGCCACAGUAGGGACUAGUUUUCUAGAGUUUAAUGAAAGAAAGUCGAAUAUCUGGAGUAGAGAGACAAUAUUUCGAUACCAGAGAGACGGGUAACGGCGUAGGCAACUUUCUAUGUAAAAACUGACGUUGAGGGACGAAGCCCUGGGUAGCGAUAAGGAUUAGAUACCCCAGUAGUCCAGGGAGACAAUGAUGAAUGCCAUAAGCUAGGUAUAUUAGUUUAUAAAUGAAAGUGUAAGCAUUCCACCUCAUGAAUAAGGCGGCAACGCAUAAAUUGAAAUCAUUAGACCGUUUCUGAAACCAGUAGUGAAGUAUGUUAUUUAAUUCGAUGAACCGCGAAUAACCUUACCACGUUUUGUAUAUUAUUUAAUUAAUACAAGCGCUGCACGGCUGUCUUUAGUUAAUGUCGUGAGACUUUGGUUAAUUCC